UGAACAAUGCCAAACUGUUGAUGGAAAAU
rnacentral:sRNA from 1 species